rnacentral:rRNA from 1 species
CUACGUGCCAGCAGCCGCGGUAAUACGGAGGGUGCGAGCGUUAAUCGGAAUAACUGGGCGUAAAGGGCACGCAGGCGGUGACUUAAGUGAGGUGUGAAAUCCCCGGGCUUAACCUGGGAAUUGCAUUUCAGACUGGGUAGCUAGAGUACUUUAGGGAGGGGUAGAAUUCCACGUGUAGCGGUGAAAUGCGUAGAGAUGUGGAGGAAUACCGAAGGCGAAGGCAGCCCCUUGGGAAUGUACUGACGCUCAUGUGCGAAAGCGUGGGGAGCAAACAGGAUUAGAUACCCUGGUAGUCCACGCUGUAAACGCUGUCGAUUUGGGGAUUGGGCUUUAAGCUUGGUGCCCGUAGCUAACGUGAUAAAUCGACCGCCUGGGGAGUACGGCCGCAAGGUUAAAACUCAAAUGAAUUGACGGGGGCCCGCACAAGCGGUGGAGCAUGUGGUUUAAUUCGAUGCAACGCGAAGAACCUUACCUACUCUUGACAUCCAUGGAAUCCUGUAGAGAUACGGGAGUGC